AUUCGGCUGACGAGUCCCGAAUUGAACGAAACGCGCGUUUUGUAU
rnacentral:hammerhead_ribozyme from 1 species